AGAGUUUGAUCCUGGCUCAGGAUGAACGCUGGCGGCGUGCCUAACACAUGCAAGUCGAACGAAGCUUGACGGAUGAUUUCUUCGGAAUGAAACCUGAUAUGACUUAGUGGCGGACGGGUGAGUAACACGUGAGCAACCUGCCUUUCAGAGGGGGAUAACGGCUGGAAACGGUCGCUAAUACCGCAUGAUGUGUUCGGAUGGCAUCAUCUGAACAUCAAAGAUUUAUCGCUGAAAGAUGGGCUCGCGUCUGAUUAGAUAGUUGGUGGGGUAACGGCCUACCAAGUCUACGAUCAGUAGCCGGACUGAGAGGUUGAACGGCCACAUUGGGACUGAGAUACGGCCCAGACUCCUACGGGAGGCAGCAGUGGGGAAUAUUGCACAAUGGGGGAAACCCUGAUGCAGCAACGCCGCGUGAAGGAUGACGGUUUUCGGAUUGUAAACUUCUUUUCUUAGUGACGAAGACAGUGACGGUAGCUAAGGAAUAAGCAUCGGCUAACUACGUGCCAGCAGCCGCGGUAAUACGUAGGAUGCAAGCGUUAUCCGGAUUUACUGGGUGUAAAGGGAGCGCAGGCGGGACUGCAAGUUGGAUGUGAAAUACCGUGGCUUAACCACGGAACUGCAUCCAAAACUGUAGUUCUUGAGUGAAGUAGAGGCAAGCGGAAUUCCGAGUGUAGCGGUGAAAUGCGUAGAUAUUCGGAGGAACACCAGUGGCGAAGGCGGCUUGCUGGGCUUUAACUGACGCUGAGGCUCGAAAGUGUGGGGAGCAAACAGGAUUAGAUACCCUGGUAGUCCACACUGUAAACGAUGAUAGCUAGGUGUGGGGGGUCUGACCCCUUCCGUGCCGGAGUUAACGCAAUAAGCUAUCCACCUGGGGAGUACGA
rnacentral:rRNA from 1 species